UACGUAGGUCCCGAGCGUUGUCCGGAUUUAUUGGGCGUAAAGCGAGCGCAGGUGGUUUAUUAAGUCUGGUGUAAAAGGCAGUGGCUCAACCAUUGUAUGCAUUGGAAACUGGUAGACUUGAGUGCAGGAGAGGAGAGUGGAAUUCCAUGUGUAGCGGUGAAAUGCGUAGAUAUAUGGAAGAACACCAGUGGCGAAAGCGGCUCUCUGGUCUGUAGCUGACGCUGAGGUUCGAAAGCGUGGGUAGCAAACAGG
rnacentral:rRNA from 1 species